rnacentral:rRNA from 1 species
CUACGGGGUGCUGCAGUGGGGGAUAUUGCACAAUGGGGGAAACCCUGAUGCAGCGACGCCGCGUGAACGAUGAAGUAUUUCGGUAUGUAAAGUUCUAUCAGCAGGGAAGAUAAUGACGGUACCUGACUAAGAAGCACCGGCUAAAUACGUGCCAGCAGCCGCGGUAAUACGUAUGGUGCAAGCGUUAUCCGGAUUUACUGGGUGUCAAGGGUGCGUAGGUGGUAUGGCAAGUCAGAAGUGAAAGCACGGGGCUCAACCCCGUAACUGCUUUUGAAACUGUCAAACUAGAGUGCAGGAGAGGAAAGCGGAAUUCCUAGUGUAGCGGUGAAAUGCGUAGAUAUUAGGAGGAACACCAGUGGCGAAGGCGGCUUUCUGGACUGUAACUGACACUGAGGCACGAAAGCGUGGGGAGCAAACAGGAUUAGAUACCCCUGUAGUC